UAUUGGUCAAUGGACGCAAGUCUGAACCAGCCAUGCCGCGUGCAGGAAGACGGCUCUAUGGGUUGUAAACUGCUUUUGUAUUAGGGUAAAAUCAGGUACGUGUACCUGACUGCAAGUAUAAUACGAAUAAGGAUCGGCUAACUCCGUGCCAGCAGCCGCGGUAAUACGGAGGAUCCAAGCGUUAUCCGGAUUUAUUGGGUUUAAAGGGUGCGUAGGCGGUUUGAUAAGUUAGAGGUGAAAUACCGGGGCUUAACUCCGGAACUGCCUCUAAUACUGUUGAACUAGAGAGUAGUUGCGGUAGGCGGAAUGUAUGGUGUAGCGGUGAAAUGCUUAGAGAUCAUACAGAACACCGAUUGCGAAGGCAGCUUACAAAUCUAUAUCGGACGCUGAGGCACGAAAGCGUGGGGAGCAAACAGGA
rnacentral:rRNA from 1 species